rnacentral:tRNA from 1 species
UCCCUGGUAGCCCAGAGGUUAGGGCUUUGUGUUUCCACUGCAGAGGGCAUAGGUUUGAUCCCUGGUCAGAGAA